UGAGUACGAGCUGCUACGGCAGCGAAGUGGGUGACGUCAAGCUUCCAAGAAAAGCCCUAUACCCGUUAAGGCAUGAUGGCCUGUACCCGAAACCGACACAGGUGGGGUGGUAGAGAAUACCGAGGGGCGCGAGGUAACUCUCUCUAAGGAACUCGGCAAAAUGGCCCCGUAACUUCGGGAGAAGGGGUGCCACCGCAAGGUGGUCGCAGUGAAGAGGCCCAGGCGACUGUUUACCAAAAACACAGGUCUCCGCUAAGUCGCAAGACGAUGUAUGGGGGCUGACGCCUGCCCAGUGCCGGAAGGUUAAGGAAGUUGGUCAGCGAAAGCGAAGCUAGCGACUGAAGCCCCGGUGAACGGCGGCCGUAACGAUAACGGUCCUAAGGUAGCGAAAUUCCUUGUCGGGUAAGUUCCGACCCGCACGAAAGGCGUAACGAUCUGGGCGCUGUCUCGGAGAGAGGCUCGGCGAAAUAGAAUUGUCUGUGAGGAUGCGGACUACGUGCACCCGGACAGAAAGACCCUAUGAAGCUUUACUGUAGCUUGGUAUUGUGCCCGGGCUCUGAAUGCGCAGGAUAGGUGGGAGGCUUUGAUCCAUGGCUUGCGGGUCAUGGUGAGCCAACGGUGAGAUACCACUCUUUCAGAGCUAGGGUUCUAACGGUCACCCGUUAUCCGGGGACCGGACAGUAUCUGGUGGGCAGUUUGACUGGGGCGGUCGCCUCCUAAAAGGUAACGGAGGCGCGCAAAGGUUUGCUCAGGCUGGUUGGAAAUCAGCCGACGAGUGUAAAAGCAGAAGCAAGCUUGACUGUGAGACCAACAAGUCGAACAGGGACGAAAGUCGGCUUUAGUGAUCCGACGGUUCUGAGUGGAAGGGCCGUCGCUCAACGGAUAAAAGUUACUCUAGGAUAACAGGCUGAUCUCCCCCAAGAGUUCACAUCGACGGGGAGGUUUGGCACCUCGAUGUCGGCUCAUCGCAACCUGGGGCUGAAGUCGGUCCCAAGGGUUGGGCUGUUCGCCCAUUAAAGCGGUACGCGAGCUGGGUUCAGAACGUCGUGAGACAGUUCGGUCCAUAUCCGGUGCAUGCGCAGGAAUAUUGAGAGGAGUUCUCCCUAGUACGAGAGGACCGGGAGGAACGCACCUCUGGUGUACCAGUUAUCGUGCCAACGGUAAACGCUGGGUAGCCAUGUGCGGAGAGGAUAACCGCUGAAAGCAUCUAAGUGGGAAGCCCACCUCAAGAUGAGUAUUCCCAUGGCAUAAGCCAGUAAGGUCACGGGAAGAACACCCGUUGAUAGGCUCUACGUGGAAGCGCAGUAAUGCGUGAAGCGGAGGAGUACUAAUAGACCGAGGGC
rnacentral:rRNA from 1 species